GUCCUUGUAGCUCAACUGGUAGAGCGUGCGCGGUACAAAAGCGUAGGCGUCGUCUAUUCGUGGGUUCGAAUCCCACCGAGACCA
rnacentral:tRNA from 1 species